CACGUAGGGCGCAAGCGUUGUCCGGAAUUAUUGGGCGUAAAGAGCUCGUAGGCGGUCUGUUGCGUCUGCUGUGAAAACUCGGGGCUUAACCCCGAGCCUGCAGUGGAUACGGGCAGACUAGAGGUAGGUAGGGGAGAAUGGAAUUCCCGGUGUAGCGGUGAAAUGCGCAGAUAUCGGGAGGAACACCAGUGGCGAAGGCGGUUCUCUGGGCCUUACCUGACGCUGAGGAGCGAAAGCGUGGGGAGCGAACAGG
rnacentral:rRNA from 1 species